CAAUAGCGUAUAUUAAAGUUGUUGCAGUUAAAAAGCUCGUAGUUGGAUUUCGGGACGGGCCAGUCGGUCCACCGCAAGGUGUGUCACUGACUGGUCUGUUCUUCUUCGCAAAGACUGCAUGUGCACUUCACUGUGUGGGUGUAGGAUUUACGACGUUUACUUUGAAAAAAUUAGAGUGUUCAAAGCAGGCUAUCGCUUGAAUACAUGAGCAUGGAAUAAUGGAAUAGGACUUUGGUCCUAUUUUGUUGGUUUCUAGGACCGAAGUAAUGAUUAAGAGGGACAAUUGGGGGCAUCCGUAUUUCGUUGUCAGAGGUGAAAUUCUUGGAUUUACGAAAGACGAACAACUGCGAAAGCAUUUGCCAAGAGUGUUUUCAUUAAUCAAGAACGAAAGUUAGAGGAUCGAAGACGAUCAGAUACCAU
rnacentral:rRNA from 1 species